rnacentral:rRNA from 1 species
GUGGGGAAUAUUGGACAAUGGGCGCAAGCCUGAUUCAGCCAUGCCGCGUGAGUGAUGAAGGCCUUAGGGUUGUAAAGCUCUUUCAGUGGGGACGAUAAUGACGGUACCCACAGAAGAAGCCCCGGCUAACUUCGUGCCAGCAGCCGCGGUAAUACGAAGGGGGCUAGCGUUGUUCGGAUUUACUGGGCGUAAAGCGCACGUAGGCGGAUCGUUAAGUCGGGGGUGAAAUCCUGGAGCUCAACUCCAGAACUGCCUUCGAUACUGGCGAUCUUGAGUCCGGAAGAGGUGAGUGGAACUCCUAGUGUAGAGGUGGAAUUCGUAGAUAUUAGGAAGAACACCAGUGGCGAAGGCGGCUCACUGGUCCGGUACUGACGCUGAGGUGCGAAAGCGUGGGGAGCAAACAGGAUUAGAUACCCUAGUAGUCC